GACUAUGGCCACUCCAGCCUGAAUGCGCCCCAUCUCAUCUGAUCUCAGAAGCUAAGCAGGGUCGGGCCUGGUUGGUACUUGGAUGGGGGAAUAAAGAUUACAGCCUCUAGUUUGUUUUACAGCUAGCUGUAACUA
rnacentral:rRNA from 1 species